GACGGGGGGGGCAAGUGUUCUUCGGAAUGACUGGGCGUAAAGGGCACGUAGGCGUGAAUCGGGUUGAAAGUGAAAGUCGCCAAAAAGUGGCGGAAUGCUCUCGAAACCAAUUCACUUGAGUGAGACAGAGGAGAGUGGAAUUUCGUGUGUAGGGGUGAAAUCCGUAGAUCUACGAAGGAACGCCAAAAGCGAAGGCAGCUCUCUGGGUCCCUACCGACGCGGGUGCGAAAGCAUGGGGAGCGAACAGG
rnacentral:rRNA from 1 species